AAUUUCUGGUACGAUGCGCCUGAUCCACGUUCGCAAGAACGCGAGUAUCGGAGUGUAUCUGCCAUCCUUCUAGUUAGCUGGCUGUACUUAACUGUGCGGUCAGUGAUCUAGAUCAUUUACUUUGAAAAAAUUAGAGUGUUUAAAGCAGGCUUGCGCUAUGAAUACAUUAGCAUGGAAUAAUAAUUUAGGACUUUGGUCUUAUUUUGUUGGUUUCUAGGACUAAAGUAAUGAUUGAUAGGGACAGUUGGGGGUGCUAGUAUUCAGCGGCCAGAGGUGAAAUUCUUGGAUUCGCUGAAGACUAACUUAUGCGAAAGCAUU
rnacentral:rRNA from 1 species